UUCUCUUAAUAUUAAAUAAUAGUUUUUCCUCUUCUGCAGUACCUUCAGGUGCCAUUUAAAAUUAAAAUCAAUUAUAUUUCUCCAAGCUCGGAAAAUUUAUGUUUCUCUGAGAAGCUGACCUCAUCAACAAGUUCAUACAAAACACUGUUUGGCACAUAUAUGGAGAAGCACCCAGAAAAUGUUAUCUAUGUAAAAUGGAGGGGGUUUUCCUCAGUUAUUUUCUCUCUUUUUCCUGUAUUGGCUUUGUUUCCAUUAGAUUUCUUGGACCUCUGAUUCAGAGCAAAAUAGGUCUGCUGUUUCCUGAAAGAAGAUUUAUUAGUGUGGAGACGGUACGGUAAGAUCAGUGAGAUAAUCUGUUUUAAGAGAAGAGGGUUAAGGGGGAUAUACAACAGAAGGAUAUGAUAAUUUUCAACUUCACAUUCUAAGGAGCGCCACACUGAUUCCAGACCAAAAGUGGAAAAAGACCCACUCUGGGAAUGAGGGGCUGUGCAUCACCACGGAUGCUGCUGUGCCAUACCGGCUAAUGCAGGCACGUGGAAGUUGUUGGGACAGACAGACCCUUGUGCCUUGCUCCUGCACUGACUUCUGCUUCCCCUUCAGUCUGCGAUGGGAGUGGUUUAAAAUCAUACAGAGUACAAUAUAAGACUUUUGGCAACUUGUUCCUUCUUCAAACCAGUUUAAUAUUAGAGCAAUACAGAGCAACUCUACAGCUGGGGAGGAUUUUUCCAUCUUUCACGUAACUCCUUAAAAUCAGGUGUUUCAGGGCAUGUCUUAUGUAGCUUACUAGAGUGUUGUAUGCAAUUAGUUGUUGUGGUUUAGGAGAAGGCAGUAUGUGUGUUGUACACAACACUUGUAAGUGACUAUUGAAGUGAUACUGCGAGUCAUAAAUUUGCUCUCAAUUUCAUUACCCACACAUUUCCCACUCCUUCACACACAGAACUAUAAUAAGCAGGGCUGGUAUAGGAGGCUCUUUGGGAUUUUAGCAGAGCAAGUAGUCCCCAGUGGAGCUGGGAAGUGAAAGGAAACUGUUCCAGCUGGGAGCCAAAUAGCAGUAAUGCAGGACCUGUGGGGAGAUGCUGCAGCUCGUGAAGGUUUAUAAUACCAUAGGUUACUGUGAUUAUUAAAGAAACAGGAAACAAAUAAUAGAUUCCCCCCUUACAAGCACUUUGUAUACAAGACGUGCAAAAUGGUGGAGUUGAAAGGGAGAUAAGGCUGUUCUCGACCUGCACUCUCAAGCUGGAUGUGGGUUACUCCCUUUCAGGUGUGUGGUCUAAGCUUCAGGUGAUGGGAGUGGUUCCAUGUUUUUUGAAGUUUUAUUUUUUCUUCUUUUUUUUUUCAUCUUCCUCCUGGCAUAUCUCUCUGCUUUCCCAUGAGUGGUGUCACUAGCAAGAAAAUAACCAGAUGUCUCAGCAGGGCUGUUUCCAUUUUGCUACCACAGAAAGCAAGUUUACUCAUUCUGAAUCGUGCCAAACCGCAUAAUUUGGAAAGGAAUAUUGUGGCUCUACUUGGAAAGUACUAAUUGGGCUCCAGCCAUCACUGGGAAAGCUGUAUAGUCUUUUAUUAUUUUAACUGGCCAAAUGCCCUUUGUUACCACAUUAACAGUCUCCCUAUGGUGCCUGUAACUUUGAUAUUAUUUUCACUUUCAUGCUAAAUUUGACCAGAUGAAAGACACAAACCCUCCAAUUUUGAAAGAAAAAAAAAUAACGUGUUUUGUUAAUCCUGUAUUUCAGAGGGAAAGUCUGUGAAAAUGAUAACCUUUGUCCGCUGGCCAAAGUUUUUGUUCAGGAAACCCAUCCUGCCAGCUGUUCCCAUUGGCAAGGGGAAAGAUAAUAUUUUGGUAUCUUUAAUUUCUCUAUUUUAGAGCGCAAGUUCUGCUUGGGCCAUUGUUUAAAUCACGCACGUUAACAUCGGUCUGGCAAACAAUAAUGCACUUUAUAAAAAGACCUCAGUUUGAGCGCUAUCACUGCAAUGUUGCAAUAAAGCUGGUCUAGACUAUUA